CCCACAGCGCUAUGGGGUCUGCACUGCCCCUGACCCCACAGCUUGGCCCUAUAGGCCCCGAGCAUUGCCAACCCCAUAGCGUGGCCCUAUAGGCCCUGAGCUGCGCCCAACCCCAUUGCAAUGUGGGGUCUCCACUGCCCCUGACCCCAUAGCGUGGCCCUAUAGGCUCCGAGCAUUGCCAACCCCAUAGCGCUAUGGGGUCUGCGCUGCCCCUGACCCCAUAGCGUGG
rnacentral:lncRNA from 1 species